rnacentral:rRNA from 1 species
GACCUCGGAUCAGGUAGGGAUACCCGCUGAACUUAGGCAUAUCAAUAAGCGGAGGAAAAGAAACCAACAGGGAUUGCCUCAGUAACGGCGAGUGAAGCGGCAACAGCUCAAAUUUGAAAUCUGGCCUUCGGGUCCGAGUUGUAAUUUGCAGAGGAUGCUUCGAGCAUGGUCUAGUCUAAGUUCCUUGGAAUAGGACGUCAUAGAGGGUGAGAAUCCCGUAUGCGACUGGGUGCCUAAGCUCAUGUGAAGCUCCUUCGACGAGUCGAGUUGUUUGGGAAUGCAGCUCAAAAUGGGUGGUAAAUUUCAUCUAAAGCUAAAUAUUGGCCAGAGACCGAUAGCGCACAAGUAGAGUGAUCGAAAGAUGAAAAGCACUUUGGAAAGAGAGUUAAAUAGCACGUGAAAUUGUUGAAAGGGAAGCGC